GCAGAGUCUGUGGCUCAGUAGUAAAGCAUCUGUUUGGUAUUCAAAAGGUCCCAGUAUCGAUCCCUGGCAGCUACA
rnacentral:tRNA from 1 species